rnacentral:rRNA from 1 species
CACUCCUGCGGGAGGCAGCAGUGGGGAAUUUUGGACAAUGGGCGAAAGCCUGAUCCAGCAAUGCCGCGUGAGUGAAGAAGGCCUUCGGGUUGUAAAGCUCUUUUGUCAGGGAAGAAACGGUGAGAGCUAAUAUCUUUUGCUAAUGACGGUACCUGAAGAAUAAGCACCGGCUAACUACGUGCCAGCAGCCGCGGUAAUACGUAGGGUGCAAGCGUUAAUCGGAAUUACUGGGCGUAAAGCGUGCGCAGGCGGUUUUGUAAGUCUGAUGUGAAAUCCCCGGGCUCAACCUGGGAAUUGCAUUGGAGACUGCAAGGCUAGAAUCUGGCAGAGGGGGGUAGAAUUCCACGUGUAGCAGUGAAAUGCGUAGAUAUGUGGAGGAACACCGAUGGCGAAGGCAGCCCCCUGGGUCAAGAUUGACGCUCAUGCACGAAAGCGUGGGGAGCAAACAGGAUUAGAUACCCGGGUAGUCCC